rnacentral:rRNA from 1 species
UACGGAGGAUCCGAGCGUUAUCCGGAUUCAUUGGGUUUAAAGGGUGCGUAGGUUGUUUUAUAAGUUAGCGGUGAAAUACCGAUGCUCAACAUCGGGGCUGCCGCUGAUACUGUAGGACUAGAGAUCGGAUGCAGCAGGCGGUAUGUGUAGUGUAGCGGUGAAAUGCAUAGAUAUUACACAGAACACCGAUUGCGAAGGCAGCUUGCUAGGCCGGAUCUGACACUGAUGCACGAAAGCGUGGGGAUCGAACAGG